UCCGCCAUUAACCCUUAUAGGUGUCAGGCCUCCGGCAUAUGAGCCGUUAAAUCCUUUCACAGGACACAGCAUGGCGACAUCAUCUUGAUUGGCCACCUGCAUCCUAGUAUCUGUGGGCCGCAAUGCGGGUGCCGUGGAGCAAAACUUACUGUCAGCUUUAAUAUGAGGGUAUAUACAUCAACAUCAGGUGCACGUAGGAACGCGCUGUAAAACGCUCAGGUGUGAACCCAGGGUCAGGAGGACCGAACGUGCCACCACACAGAGGCAGCUUCUGGGGUUUUUUUACUGGAAAGUUUCAGAGUCCUAGAAGACAAGAGAAAGAGGGAGAGAAAUUCGCAAGAAAUUAAG